GGAGUUAUUGCCCUUUAUAGUCAAUUUUUAACCAUUUUUCGUUAAUUAAAGUAAUCUUUUACAAAAAUCUUCUCCUCUGAAACUACUUGGCCAAAUUAAUCCAAACUUGGCCACAAUCAUCUUUGGGGUAUCUAGUUUAAAAAAUGUGUGGCGUGACCUGGUCAACCAACCAAGAUGGCCGCCACGGCUAAAAAUAGAACAAAGGGGUAAAAUGCAGUUUUUGGCUUAUAACUCAAAAACCAAAGCAUUUUGAGGAAAUCUGACACGGGAUAAAAAUGUUUAUCAGGUCAAGAUCUAUCUGCCCUAAAAUUUUCAGAUGAAUCGGUC
rnacentral:lncRNA from 1 species